UCUGAUUGACAUUACACUCAUGAAGUUACUUUGUUCUAUAAUCAAUAGAUCCUUUCCUGGCUUUUUCAAACUUGGUGGAAAACGUGGGAAAAAAAGAUUUUUUGCUGCCUCUACGCAAAAAUCAAAAACGGUAGCACUGAAUUUCUACCUGUUGCCAAAAAAUACCACCCUCACCCCAUUGCCUGCCGAGGAGCUAGAAUUGCUUCAGGCAGGCAUGGGGAGAAAGAGUGUUUCGAUGCCAGAGACUGGUGACCAUUCAGAGAUUACGCAAGUCUUGACUGACACGUUUCCAAAAAUGGAGAAUCUUGCCGGCGGAUGGCUCCUACACAAAGCCUCAGGUGGCAGUGGCCGACGCAAACUUACUGUUAUACCGCCAGAAGCGGAAGGAUACUCUGUAAAAGCUCUUCGAGCUGUCUCUACAGGUGGGAAAGCAAUACUUUUCAUAGUCCCAUUGCAGGAGAGAUUGGAUACUUCACCU